GUUUCUUUAAAUACAGGAAACCCUGAACACGCUGAAGUUAGAAACAAGAAUUUUUGACCAUGAAUACAUUACUUUGGAUAUUAUUAUCGCAUUGUUUCAUACUUAUUAAUGCAGAUUGCAACAAUCAUUUCAUUGGUGCUGGUGAAGCAAGUAAGAAUGCUGUUGUUGGAGAGAAUGUGAUACUGCCAUGCUAUAAUGUGAUCAAACAAACAAACUGCACAUACACUUCAUGGCUAUCUGUAGAAAAUGGAGUUGGUGAGCUGGUGCACCUUGGCAAGAUAGAACAGAACUCAGAAAGGGGAAAGCGAGUGAGUUUGACAUCUAACUGCUCUCUACACAUCAGUAAUGUCAGAGCUGAGGACUGCGGAUGCUACAUCUGUCAACAGUGGAACAAUACUGAUGUAGAGGUAGCAAAGAAUGCCAGAUUGUGCUUGUCUGUCACUAAAGG